rnacentral:rRNA from 1 species
UACGUAGGGGGCAAGCGUUGUCCGGAAUCAUUGGGCGUAAAGAGCGUGUAGGCGGCUUGGUAAGUCCGCUGUGAAAGUCCGGGGCUCAACCCUGGAAUGCCGGUGGAAACUGUCAAGCUUGAGUCCGGAAGAGGCGAGUGGAAUUCCUGGUGUAGCGGUGAAAUGCGCAGAUAUCAGGAGGAACACCAAUGGCGAAGGCAGCUCGCUGGGACGGUACUGACGCUGAGACGCGAAAGCGUGGGGAGCAAACAGG